GCAUAUCAAUAAGCGGAGGAAAAGAAACCAACAGGGAUUGCCCCAGUAACGGCGAAGUGAAGCGGCAACAGCUCAAAUUUGAAAUCUGGCCUCGUGCCCGAGUUGUAAUUUGUAGAGGAUGCUUUUGGCGACGCGCCUUCCGAGUUCCCUGGAACGGGACGCCAUAGAGGGUGAGAGCCCCGUCCGGUCGUGCGCCUAGCCUCUGUAAAGCUCCUUCGACGAGUCGAGUAGUUUGGGAAUGCUGCUCUAAAUGGGAGGUAUACGUCUUCUAAAGCUAAAUACCGGCCAGAGACCGAUAGCGCACAAGUAGAGUGAUCGAAAGAUGAAAAGCACUUUGAAAAGAGGGUUAAAUAGUACGUGAAAUUGCUGAAAGGGAAGCGCUUAUGACCAGACUUGGGCGCGGCGGAUCAUCCGGCGUUCUCGCCGGUGCACUCCACCGCCCCAGGCCAGCAUCAGUUCGCGCCGGGGGACAAAGGCUUCGGGAAUGUGGCUCCCUCGGGAGUGUUAUAGCCCGCUGCGUAAUACCCUGGCGCGGACUGAGGUCCGCGCUCUGCAAGGAUGCUGGCGUAAUGGUCAUCAGUGACCCGUCUUGAAACACGGACCAAGGAGUCGUCUUCGUAUGCGAGUGUUCGGGUGUCAAACCCCUACGCGGAAUGAAAGUGAACGUAGGAGAGAGCUUCGGCGCAUCUCCGACCGAUCCUGAUGUUCUCGGAUGGAUUUGAGUAAGAGCAUACGGGGCCGGACCCGAAAGAAGGUGAACUAUGCCUGUGUAGGGUGAAGCCAGAGGAAACUCUGGUGGAGGCUCGCAGCGGUUCUGACGUGCAAAUCGAUCGUCAAACAUGGGCAUGGGGGCGAAAGACUAAUCGAACCUUCUAGUAGCUGGUUUCCGCCGA
rnacentral:rRNA from 1 species